rnacentral:lncRNA from 1 species
GCUUUGAAUGGGAGGGUUUUGGUUCGGCUUUGAAGCUUGUUUUUUGUGUUUUUCUUUUUAAUAAUAAUUAGAUUUUCAUUUAUAUUAUUUUAAAAGGGGACUUAUUUAACAAACCAAUAAUAAAUUUAGUUAGUCAAACUCUAACUUUUCUCAAGUUUCCAUGAAAAAGCAUACACUAGAACGGCACAUUAGGUAACUGUCUUAGACUGCCAAUUGUUUGAGGUCUGAGAGUGUCAAAGUGUUUGUUACUUUAAAUUAACUGAAUUUUAAUUAAUUUUGGAAAACAAAACAUUCAGAAUUUGCAUUUUUUUAAUCAAUUUUAAAUACCAAUAUUGAAAUUUAUACAAAAAUCUUAUUCAUUUUGUGAAAUAAUUUAAUGACAAUGAACCAAGGAGCUUGCAAUGAACACACAAAAAUUGACUAUGCUGUAAAGCUUUGAAAAUAAUGAUCAUAUGACAUCUAGUCUGAUGACUAUUAGUUUCAAACUAUCUACUUCAGUGGCUGGGUUUUUUUUAUUAACAGAUGACUCCAAGAUGCAAGAUAGUGUCUUUCUAUUCAGUAAGCAUAUUAAAUGGCCAGGCAAAAUGAGCCCUUCUACAGGCUUCCCAACCCUACAGAAGAGUCAUCCAGAUGGUGGAGGACAAGGAUUGACGGGCCGGGUCAGACCCCAUGUUAAAUUUUUCAAAGGAUGGGACCAGAGACUCAAACUCAGGUCAUACAGUCAACAAAGCAUUUCCACAUGACCAAUUUAACCAAUUUAGUGGCUGGUUGGUUAGUUCAUUUUUAGUUAAGCUACCAAAUCUCUCAAGUUAGCUGAAUUGGUUGUGUAGCAACACUUUGGUCUUCAGACAACUUUCUCUUCUAGGGGACCUGAAUUCAAUUCUCAGGUCUCACCCCUUGAAAAUAUUUAUCAUGAUCUGGUCCAUCAAUCCAAGCUACUUUCUGCUACUGGCUCCCACUACUAGGCAGACUGUGGAAAGUUUUGUUAUGAAAAAAUCUCUCAUAAGAUAUUUUUGGUAGUAGUUAUUUCCAAUCCUAUCAUUAUCCAUUCUUCAGCUGGAAUUCAAUGGGUCAGAUCCAGAUCCUUAUUGAAAAUCUGAUGGUUUAGGAACCAGAAUUGAACUCAGAUCGUUCAAAGUGGGUAAAUGAUCUUUCUUUGAUGGUUGGUAACAUAACUGUACAUUCAAUAUUAUAGAAUAAACAGUUCUUAGCCAGUAUUCUGAGAGCUUGUCAUAAAUGUUCUGCAAAAUUAUAAAUAUAUUAGCAAAAUGUGCUCAGCAUUGCCUAGUUAGAUUAAGUUAUAGUAAUUAAGCCACCAUAUCAUGCUUGAGAUAUUCUAUACCUAAUGGCAGCCACUUUUAAAGUCCAUAACAGGCUGGCCAAUACUCAUGAUCGGUCAACCAAAAGCUUGAAGGAUGAGAUUCAAUGAUUUGGUUUGGCUAUGUUAGUUAGGCCAUCAAAUCAUACUUAUAAUAUUCUAUAUUUUGCAGUAGCCAUUUUUAGAGUCCACUACAAGUUAGCCAACAUCCAUUGUGAAGUAGUGCAGAAGAUUAAAGGAUAAGAUUCAAUGGGCUAGACCCAGAUCCCUCCUUAGAAACUGGAAGUAUGGGACCUAGAUUUGAACCUGGAUCCUCCAAGGUGAUAAGCAACUGCUUUUUCUCACAGACCGACAGGCAUUGACAGGACCUAGUUUGAAAACUUAUAUUAUGUGUAAUAUAAGUUUUAGGAAAAUAUAAAACUUAUAUUAGGAAAAACUUGAUUUUAAUUAUUUGUAUGUUGAUUUCUUCUAUAGUUUCAG